AACGCACCUUGCGCCCUUUGGCUAUUCCGAAGGGCAUGCCUGUUUGAGUAUCAUGAACACCUCAACUCUCGUGGUUUGCUACGAUGAGCUUGGACUUUGGGGGAUUUGCUGGCCUGUGGUCGGCUCCUCUCAAAUGAAUCAGCUUCCCAGUGUUUGGUGGAGUCUCGCAGGUGUGAUAACUAUCUACGCUUGUGGUUUUUCACCAGAUAACCUUCGGUGAACGGAGGUUCGCUGGGGCUCAUAAAUGUCUUUCCUCAGUGAAGACAGCUUUUCAAACGUUUGAUCUCAAAUCAGGUAGGACUACCCGCUGAACUUAA
rnacentral:misc_RNA from 1 species